UACAGACUAGGAACAGAAUUGGAUUUCACUUGAUAGCUAAUAGAACAGCUCCUGAGAUGCUGGUAGGCGAAGGAGGGUAUGGGCUGCAGGAGCAGACAGUGGCCUGGCUGGGGAACACCUACACACAGGAGCGGCCAAGCCCUGGGGCUCUGAUCAUGACCCUGACUCAUUAUGAAUUUAAAAUCCUGUGUAGCAGAGACUGAUUUGGUGACAUGGCUUUUUCUUUCUCCCUCCACGGCCAGGCUCUCCCAGGCCCCGCAAGUGAGGGGAUGGAGUAUCAUGGGGGUAAUGGGGUCCAGAGUCUCCUGAAGGUCCAAGCCAUGACAUGGGUGGGCCAGGAUUUGGCAAUGCUGGAAGUGGGUGUCCCGAGGGUCCAAGGCAUGGUGACCUGGGCUCGAGGGGUGUCUGCUGCUGGUCAGGCCAUCUCUGCCUGGGCUGUGCCUGGCGAUCCACUGGCUUCCUUACUCGAGACCCCACAUCUUUUGUCUGACUCAUCUUAUCUUCCACUUCUGAUGAACCUGUGAUCACCCGUGACCCCCGCUGCACCUGCUGAGGAUGACUUCAGCUUUACCCUCUGCUCCUACUUGAUGAAUUCUCGAGACCCGGAAGCUGAUGGGCCCAGCCCUGUCCUUAUUGCACAGGACUCUCUGCACCAGUCUCUUGCAGGCUGCCAUAUGGAUGGAUUUCUCUUGGGCCAGCAGUCCACCCUAUACCCCUGGCCAACUCAGCUGAGUCCCAGAAGGCAGCCAGCAGGACCUGGGAAUGGGACACGCUCCCCGAGAUGGGGCUGUGGCAUGCCCAGCAGGGUUUCCAUGUCAACCCAAAGAUGUGAAGAAAAAAAAAAAGCCUUGCCUAAUUUGCAGCUGAAACACAGCCAGUGAGGUUUUGGAAUCAUCUAGAGAAAUCAGAAGGGUGGCCUCCAACCAGCGUGGUGAGACAUGAUGAGGUCUUGCCUGAAAAUGCUUCCACUCCACGUCACGUCCCCACUCGGUUUCCCCAGGGCAGAAGUUAACUUCGUUCAACCUGCUCCACCAGAUGAGGCUUUUAUAAAAUCACCUGCAGGCCGGAUGCUAUCUGUCCGUAUGUAAACAAGCGGUUUAGGCGGCCCUGUGUGUUAAGGGCAAAGUGAUCCCGAAGCCAAUGUUUACAGGGACUCCUUGGAACCAGCACGACAUAAAAAGUAAGGAGCGACGGCACGAAUUGAAUAACAGGCAGUGCAGUUGUGGUUUGUCUGUGCCUCUGCCUCCGCGCUCCGUCAUCCUCCUUCCCUGCCAGAAGUCCCACAGGCGUGGGAGGCGUGGGGACUUUCUAUUUGUUCCCUUCCACCUUGCACAGCAUGUUCUUCUAUCAAGUGAUUUAUUCUCGUCUUCGAAGCAGGGCUUCACUGCGGGCGUGGCCAUGGAGUCCGUGUGCCUGCCACCUGCUCCCUUGUGGGAGAGCGACCUGGAAUGCCCUGGACAGGAGCCAGCUCUCCCAGGUGGAGGUGGGGACAGCAGAGCUCCUGCCCCGACCGGGGGCUGUGUCCACACGCAGGCUCACACACACACACACACACACACACACACACACACACACGUGCAGGCACAGGUGAGACCCCCCUCUGCCCCCCAGAACUUUCUAUGCAAGACUACAGGUCAGUCAGCACUUUCUUCUCCUUUAGGCUCCUUCUGGAACAUUCUCAUGGCCACCACCUGGUCUGAGGCCCUCAGUACUGGAUGUCUAGGGUUUAGAUUCUUCCCCUGAAACCUUCUAUUCCUGAAAUCAUCCUUAGCCAUUAGACAAGAGAAUAAAAAGAAGGAUCAGGAAUAGGGACUGACGUGGGCAACGCCUCAAGUCUCUAGCCAGACCCCAGAGCUAUCUCCAAAUUGGCCCAGCUCACAGCACUGGCCUCCCCUCCCCUCCUCUCCUCUUCUCUCCUCUCCACUCUCUCUUCCCCCCUCCCCUUCCCUCCUCUCUCCUCUCCUCCCCAGUCCUCAUGCUGCUCCUCCAGAGGUCCUGAGUCACCAGCAUCUGAACAUUCCUUCCACCUGGAAUUUUCCCCUUCUAGGCUUUGUCACCCAAACCUCCCUCCUCUCAACCCAGCUGGGCCCAGGACAGGUAUGGAAAGGACAGAAGAGGCUGACCUCAGCUUGCCUGAGUUUUCCUGCAAAUGACGGGAGGGCCUCCAGGAAGUCCAUCCAGAAGGUGGGAGCCAGCUUGGUAACAGCGAUCCGUGCUACUUACUCAUGCGUGGCUUGUCCCGUCCAGGAUGGACAGACAGUAGACAUUUCCGAACUUUUGUUUGCGACCUGAUCUAAGUUUGGAAGGGGAUUUCAUGUUUUAGGCCUUUUUGUUUGUGAGUUUGUUCGUUUGCGUUAGAUAAUACCAGUCACGGGGCGUUCCCGCAAGACACAUUUCAGUAGGCCAGUAGGCUGAUGUGAAUCAACAAUUAUUUACCAGGUCGUGACUCAUUGUCUGACAUGGCAGUUGUCCCAAUUGAAAAUGAGAUAUAAGAGGUAUAUUUUCAUAUAUUAGGGCUGAGUUUGCUUCCCUUAGAGCCUGGAAGGUAACAAUAAAGUCUGAUUUGGCUACUGAUAAAAUGCUUACACUUGAAAAUAACACCAGGGGACAGGUGAGGUCACUGAGAAAGCUGCACCCCUGAGAUCCAGCACCCGGCGCGGGCAGGAGGCUCGGGAGGCCUCCAGGAUGGGGCGGCAAACAGACGGGGUGGCAAGGGACUAGGCUGGGGGGAAGGCCACCUCCAAAGGGGUGUCACUAUACAGGGAGUUUUGGAAGUGUUAGAUCUGUUCUGUCUUGAUUACGAUGGUGGUUUCCUAACUGUAUACAUCUGACAAAAAUCAUAGCCCAGUAGAUGAUAUAAAUCAUAUAACACCAUGUUGUGUUAUAUUAUAUAAUUAUUAUAUUAUAUAUAAAUGUGUUUUAUAUAAUGUAUGAAUUAUACUAUAUAACACUACGUACAAAUAUAUAAGUUGUACUACAUAAUCAUUAUACUAUAUGCAAUAUUCUAUUUUAGCAUUAUAUAAUUCUAUAAACUACACAAUAUAAGGGUGCCCGGGAGGCUCAGUCAGUUGAGGGUCCGACUUGGGUUCAGGUCAUGAUCUUGAGGUUUGUGAGUUUGAGCCCCAUGUCGGACUCUGUGCUGAGAGCUCGGAGCCUGGAGCCUGCUUCGGAUUCUGUGUCUCCCUCUCUCUCUCUCUGCCCCUCCCCUGCUGAAGCUCUCUGUC